UUUAGGUUUUAACUCCAACCCUGUUCCUGGAGAGCUACCCUCCUUUAGGUUUUAACUCCAACCCUGUUCCUGGAGAGAUACCCUCCUGUAGGUUUUAACUCCAACCCUGUUCCUGGAGAGCUACCCUCCUGUAGGUUUUAACUCCAACCCUGUUCCUGGAGAGCUACCCUCCUGUAGGUUUUAACUCCAACCCUGUUCCUGGAGAGCUACCCUCCUGUAGGUUUUAACUCCAACCCUGUUCCUGGAGAGAUACCCUCCUGUAGGUUUUAACUCCAACCCUGUUCCUGGAGAGAUACCCUCCUGUAGGUUUUAACUCCAACCCUGUUCCUGGAGAGAUACCCUCCUGUAGGUUUUAACUCCAACCCUGUUCCUGGAGAGAUACCCUCCUGUAGGUUUUAACUCCAACCCUGUUCCUGGAGAG